rnacentral:lncRNA from 1 species
CAGCAAGUGUGUCACCUGAGGAAUGCCAGCGCAGGGAGUCGUGGUCUUUUUCAAAACUCAUGGAACCCUGGCGUUCACCAUGCCAGAAAUUCGUUUCCAGUCCCUUGUGCUUGAAAAGCAGGGGAGGAAGACUGAUGGAAAUGGAACUGGACAGUUCAGACAAAUCUCAAGCUGGCUGUGAGGCGCUCCUGAGAUCUUCCGAACUUGGUGGUGAUGAUGGGUUCUUCUUGUUGUUGUUGUUUUGUUUACUUGUUUUGUUUUUUAAAAUUCUGCCUAAUGCUCAGCCACUACUUUCUCUUCACAGAGCAUGACAGAAUCACCUCAGCCUACCCAGAAAACACCAGGCUAUUUAACAAGUAGUUUAGAUGCUGCCUCUGAAAGUUGAACCCUUUAUGUCUUUUUAACGGAUUUUUUAUUUCUUCAUAAAUAAUUGAAAUGUGUUUAAAAUUUAAUCAACAAAGUAAAUUAUUAGAACUGUGGAGAGAGUUCUGAUCACAAACUGGGAAAAUAUGCUCUCUCUCUCUCUCUCUCUCUUUCUCCUCUCUCUCUCCUCUCUCUCUCCCCUCUCUCCUUUUUGUAACCGCAAAGCAACUGUUAUAGCAAACUCUAUAGCAAAGUUAGAUGCUAUACUGUUUAGAUACACACCUGACGCUGCAGGAAAGAUUUUGGGAAGCAUGCCUUAAAGUUCU